UAGCUCAGUUGGUUGAGCGUGGUGCUGAUAACACCAAGGUUGUGGGUUUGAUCCCCAU
rnacentral:tRNA from 1 species